rnacentral:misc_RNA from 1 species
AGCAGCCGCGGUAAUUCCAGCUCCAAUAGCGUAUAUUAAAGUUGUUGCAGUUAAAAAGCUCGUAGUUGAAUUUCGGGGUUAGUAGGUUGGUCAUGCCUCUGGUAUGUACUGGUCUCACUGAUUCCUCCUUCCUGAUGAGCCGUAAUGCCAUUAAUUUGGUGUUGCGGGGAAUUUGGACUGUUACUUUGAAGAAAUUAGAGUGUUUAAAGCAAGCUAACGCUUGAAUACAUUAGCAUGGAAUAAUGAAAUAGGACGUUCGAUCCUAUUUUGUUGGUUUCUAGGAUUGACGUAAUGAUUAAUAGGGAUAGUUGGGGGCAUUAGUAUUCAAUUGUCAGAGGUGAAAUUCUUGGAUUUAUUGAAGACUAACUACUGCGAAAGCAUUUGCCAAGGAUGUUUUCAUUAAUCAAGAACGAAAGUUAGGGGAUCGAAGACGAUCAGAUACCGUCGUAGUCUUAACCAUAAACUAUGCCGACUAGGGAUCGGAUGAUGUUAAUUUUUAAUGACUCAUU